rnacentral:rRNA from 1 species
UCGACGGCAGCACGGGUGCUUGCACCUGGUGGCGAGUGGCGAACGGGUGAGUAAUGCGUCGGAACGUACCGAGUAAUGGGGGAUAACGCAGCGAAAGUUGUGCUAAUACCGCAUACGCCCUGAGGGGGAAAGUGGGGGACCGCAAGGCCUCACGUUAUUCGAGCGGCCGACGUCUGAUUAGCUAGUUGGUGGGGUAAAGGCCUACCAAGGCGACGAUCAGUAGCGGGUCUGAGAGGAUGAUCCGCCACACUGGGACUGAGACACGGCCCAGACUCCUACGGGAGGCAGCAGUGGGGAAUUUUGGACAAUGGGGGCAACCCUGAUCCAGCCAUUCCGCGUGAGUGAAGAAGGCCUUCGGGUUGUAAAGCUCUUUCAGCUGGAACGAAACGGUACGCGCUAACAUCGUGUGCUAAUGACGGUACCGGCAGAAGAAGCACCGGCUAACUACGUGCCAGCAGCCGCGAUAAUACGUAGGGUGCGAGCGUUAAUCGG